rnacentral:rRNA from 1 species
UACGUAGGGUGCAAGCGUUUGUCCGGAAUUAUUGGGCGUAAAGAGCUCGUAGGCGGUUCGUCGCGUCGGCUGUGAAAUCCCGAGGCUCAACCUCGGGUCUGCAGUCGAUACGGGCGGACUGGAGUACUGCAGGGGAGACUGGAAUUCCUGGUGUAGCGGUGAAAUGCGCAGAUAUCAGGAGGAACACCGGUGGCGAAGGCGGGUCUCUGGGCAGUUACUGACGCUGGAGGAGCGAAAGCGUGGGGAGCGAACAGG